AUUCUCUUUAUGUCGGUGUUUACAAUUAUUUUUAUAGAAUAUAUAGUGAAGUCCUUCCAGAUCAUUUUCAGCAAGUAAAAUUUAAAUAGUUUGUGAAUCUGUACUUGUACAUACAUCUUGACACUUGGCAUAUUAAUUUUUGGUUUUUCUAAGCUGUUAACUAUCUUUUAUUUGAUGGUUAGCUAUUUGAUAACAUGCCUUAGGCCUCAUGAUGUAACUUUGAUCUUUUCGGGCAUUGAUGGUUAGCUAUUUGAUAACGUGGCUUAGGCCUCAUAAAUGGUAAGCCUUCCUGUGGUCGGCUUUUAAAGCGAGCGGGAUCAUUGUGCAAAGGCAGCUCGCAGGAUUUAGGCAGGAUUUUCGCAGGUCAUUCGACCGGCGCCGUGCUACAGUGAUUUUGCGAGAUUUCUGGAUUGGAGCGGGAUUCACUCGACGAGAUUCAAGGUAUGCUUCUUUUUGUUCGUAUCCCUUAGGUAUUACACAGAGGUCAACAUAGAUUUAAUUAAUUUCAGUUGAUUUCCUGAGAUGUUUUAGAUCGAUUAAUAAAAAUUGUAUAAACAUAAAACUUGUUUGAUUCCAAUUACUUUAUUUUACCUACUGCUAUACCUGAACUUCGGUUCUCCAAAAAUGCUUUAGAUCGAAUAUUUUUUCAGAUACUUUUAUUUGUAUGAUUCCUUUGUGAAUUAGCUUGUGUUACCUUGCCUUGAAAGCUUCCCUUAUUACUUCUUGAAGCUAGUGUUCCUAAUAAAGAUCAACAAAACCACAGAUUAAGUAGGAGCAAUUGUUUCCGCAAAAAAAAUAUCUGUGUUACCUCUUCUCAGCCUCCGCAAUUCAAAAAGAGCAACAAAAUGUUAACAAAAAAUGGAGAAGGAAAAUACCUAAUGAUAAUGAUCACCUGUGUUGCCACUAGCAAGAGAAGAUGUCGUGCGGUCGGAUUCGCAAAAGGAGAAGACGAGGUUCGCGAACUGUGCGAUUCAAACUGAGAGAGGAAGGUGAUCUGCUCGAGUCAGGGCUUCCCGUGCACUUUCACGGUUUCUUUUGACGGGAGUGGAAAGUAGUUUUGAUGAGGGUUAAGAUUUUUAAGUGGUGUAUGGGUAAAUAUGAAAUUUUAGGUGUUAGAUAUGUAAAUAGACUUAUUUUAAUUGUUAGGUAUGUAAAAAUCAUUUUUUUUUGUUAGCCCUUAUCCCGUCUGCGCCCACCUGCCUUCUUUUUUUUGUUUUUUGUUUUUGGAAAUUUGGGGUAUCAGCCCAUAUCAUUGAUAUAAAAAAGAGUUACAAUAAAGAAGAUCAUCUGCUAAACACAAAAAAUUAUGAAGCAAAUGACAAAACCCUAUAAGCAAAAGCUACUAAACAAGAAAAAGCUAUAAAAAAAGGAAGGAAAGAAACCAAAAAUUUUAAGGACUCAGCAUGCAAACAACGUGAAAUACUCCCAUGCAGUCAAAAUCAUCCUAACGGACGAGGGGAUCCCCUGGUUGUCGCAGAGACCGUCCAAGGGGAUGAAUGGUAGGUUGCAUUCAUCAUCGUCCUUCAAAAUCCCAUCCCCUGGUUGGUAAAAGAUACCAUCCAGGGACACCAAUGUAUCGGAGAGGAGAUCGGGCAGUGUCCAGUAAACCUUCCACGGCAGAAAAACAAAGAUCAAGUGGCCGUAAACUGUUGAGUGUGAAAGCAUUUUCUCAUGAAAUUCUUGAGAUAAAAAGCCCUUCUAAUCUUUGAGAUAGUGGUAUUAUGGCAGUCAAUAUUGUUUCCAAAUAAUCUGUCAUUUCUAGUUCUCCAGGUGUACUAUACAAUAGCAGAAAGUAAAAAAAAAAAAAAAUAGAAAUUCUUCCUAUUGUUAUUGUGUUCCCUUUCAUCAAUGUCGUUAACACUUGCCAUAAGUUUGGACGAAGAAGCUUGUAAUUCAUCCUAGGAAGGAAACUCUUAGGGAUAUUGAAAGAGUAAUCACACUCAAAGAGCAGAUGAUUUUGAGUUUCCCUACAGAUCCUGCAGAAAGCACAGUGAGGGGAAACAGGAAUUCCCCUAGCAGUUAAAGCAUCAGAUGUCUUAAGGCCAUUUUUGAAGGCAAUCCAUGAAUAAAUAGAAAAAUGUAGUGCGUAAUGUUUAUGCCAAACAAACUUAUACCAGGGAACAACCUCACAAUCUUCAUAAUAUUGUUUAAGAAAGUUGUUGAAGGGGGGUUUUGAAGGUUUUGUCCAGCAACAUUCAUCCAUCAAGUCAUGAAUAGGAACAGAAGUAAUCAUAGUAGCCAAAUGGGUCGGUAUGGACGGAGGUAAGUUCCAGGAGCCAUUGGAAAUAAGGCUACUAACAGUCAAAUUAGGAGGGUUGAUGAGAGAAUCCAAAUUCUCAUACUUAAGCCGCUCAGCAACAGACUGGCCAAAGCACCAGGGAUCCCAAAAGAAAGAUAAACUACUACAAGUAAUAAUUUUUAAAUUGAGAGAGUGCAGUAAGCAUUUAGCAACAUCACAAAGAGAUUUCCAGUAAAUAGAGCUCUUAGAGAUGUUGUAAUUUCAGAAAGAGCCAUAUUUUUCUUUCCACCACCUAAAGAGAUAGCUCUGGGAAUUAUAAAACCUCCAAGUAGUAGUGCACCCAAAAGCAUGAUAAAGUGAGUCAAUUGGAGGGAUGUCGAGCCCCCCAUGAAUUUUAGGUUUGCAGGUGUCCUUCCAAGAAAUCAUGUGCAACGCAUGCACAGAGCACCGUGCACUCGAGUAGGGAGCAGAGGCAAAGCGGCCAGAGGCUUCGUGACAUACAGAGCCAUUUUUCCUUCUCCUUCGUCGUUUGAUGGUCCAGUCAUCGGUCGCCCACACUUCACCUUCAAGGCUUCACAGCGUCAGACGACAGGCUGACAGCACUAGGCAGGGUUUUUUUUUUCUCUCGGUAGCCUUCUACUGGUGGAGCUGCAGAGCAAAGUCUUCUGAAACUUACAGUAAAGAAUGAUUUCAACACAUGAUGAAAUGAACUUCAAAAUGAGGAGAAAUUAUUCUGUGCAGAGUUAGAAUAGAAAGAACCGUCCGGAUAUGUGAGUGCACACACUGUGUAUAAAUUUGUACACAUUGUGUAUCAAAUUUUUAUAUAACUAUUUGUACAAACAACUCAUUUUCGAAUGAACUAGAAAAUUGAAAUGUGGCCAUCGAUCUUAUCCAAUCUAAAAGUUUACAAUUCUUCACAA